ACGUAGGAGGCAAACGUUAUCCGGAUUUAUUGGGCGUAAAGCGCGUGUAGGUGGUUUGGUAAGUAGGGCGUGAAAGCUCCUGGCUCAACUGGGAGAGGACGUUCUAAACUGCCAAGCUUGAGGAUGGUAGAGGGAGGUGGAAUUCCGGGUGUAGCGGUGGAAUGCGCAGAUAUCCGGAGGAACACCAGUGGCGAAGGCGGCCUCCUGGACCACUCCUGACACUCAGACGCGAAAGUUAGGGUAGCAAACGG
rnacentral:rRNA from 1 species